UACGGAGGGUGCAAGCGUUAACCGGAAUUACUGGGCGUAAAGCGCACGCAGGCGGUUUGUUAAGUCUGAUGUGAAAGCCCCGGGCUCAACCUGGGAACUGCAUUGGAAACUGGGAAGCUUGAGUCUCGUAGAGGGGGGUAGAAUUCCAGGUGUAGCGGUGAAAUGCGUAGAGAUCUGGAGGAAUACCGGUGGCGAAGGCGGCCGCCUGGACGAAGACUGACGCUCAGGUGCGAAAGCGUGGGGAGCAAACAGG
rnacentral:rRNA from 1 species